rnacentral:snRNA from 1 species
CUGAUAACAUAUGUACUAAAAUUAUAACAAUACAAAGAUUAGCUUGACCCCUGUGCAAGGCUGACAAGCAAAUUCAUGAAGCAUCCCACAUUUAA